rnacentral:tRNA from 1 species
CCGUAGCUCAGCUGGAUAGAGCAACGGCCUUCUAAGCCGUGGGUCGCAGGUUCGAAUCCUGCUCG